CAGGGUAGAGGCACAUGGGAGAAGGAGAAGGCCAAAGGCAGAUGGGAAAAGAAUCGUGGAGGAGAACACACCAGGUGAGACGCCGAAGCACGACAGAGCAUACGGGACAGGCAGAGAAGCAGACAGGAGAUUGGAUGAAGAGAAAAGAAAAAGAACCUUAGAGGAGCCCUGAAGCUACAGCGAAGGAAACCCCAACACCGACCGCUAGCGGCAAAAAGUGGGAGAGCGUAAAACCUCUCCCUUCCGCGUUAUGCCCAAGGAAGGUGACCUAUGAAAAGGAGGCUGAUUCCUGGCAGAGCCCUGUGGGCGUUUUAAAGACGAGACUCCUGUUCCGUUGGACUGUUUUAACCUUAUUUUAGUGGUUGUGUUUUUAAUUUUAAUUGUUUUAUCCUUUUAAAAUAAAUGUGUUAUUUCUUAA